GAUAUUGCACAAUGGGGGAAACCCUGAUGCAGCGACGCCGCGUGAGGGAAGACGGUCUUCUGGAUUGUAAACCUCUGUCUUCGGGGACGAUAAUGACGGUACCCGAGGAGGAAGUCACGGCUAACUACGUGCCAGCAGCCGCGGUAAUACGUAGGUGGCAAGCGUUGUCCGGAAUUACUGGGUGUAAAGGGAGCGUAGGCGGGGAUGCAAGUUGAAUGUUUAAUCUAUGGGCUCAACCCAUAUCAGCGUUCAAAACUGUGUCUCUUGAGUGAAGUAGAGGCAGGCGGAAUUCCUAGUGUAGCGGUGAAAUGCGUAGAUAUUAGGAGGAACACCAGUGGCGAAGGCGGCCUGCUGGGCUUUUACUGACGCUGAGGCUCGAAAGUGCGGGGAGCAAACA
rnacentral:rRNA from 1 species